GUCAAAACAAAGAUAAUAAUGCCAGGGUGACAAGGUGGUUCCUCAGUUUACAACCAUUUCAUUUUACAGUUGAACAUAGGCCAGGGUCUAAACAUGGAAAUGCUGACAGUUUGUCGCGAGAAAAUUUGUUUUCUGUGGUCGCUCACCCCACUAGGUCUGAGCUGGGGGGGAGGAUAUGUAACAGAGUGUUGGGGAUGGUGGUCAGGGGUGUAUAUCUGGCACCCAGACUUUUGCACAGCCACUAUCCUGACAUGUGGGUAAGCACAUGCAGCCCCAGGGAAAGUUAAGUUUAAAUGUAGUUUUUUUUUCCUCUGUUAUUUGGGUCCCUGGGGUGGAGUAUUCGGAAGAGCAGG